rnacentral:rRNA from 1 species
UACGUAGGUGGCAAGCGUUGUCCGGAAUUACUGGGUGUAAAGGGCGUGUAGGCGGGGAGACAAGUCAGAUGUGAAAUACCGUGGCUUAACUGCGGGGGUGCAUCUGAAACUGUUUCUCUUGAGUGUCGGAGAGGAAAGUGGAAUUCCCAGUGUAGCGGUGAAAUGCGUAGAGAUUGGGAGGAACACCAGUGGCGAAGGCGGCUUUCUGGACGAUAACUGACGCUGAGGCGCGAAAGCGUGGGUAGCAAACAGGAUUAGAUACCCCUGUAGU